AACGAACGCUGGCGGCGUGCUUAACACAUGCAAGUCGAACGCGAAAGGGACUUCGGUCCUGAGUAAAGUGGCGCACGGGUGAGUAACGCGUAGAUAACCUGUCUUCAUGUCUGGAAUAAUACGCCGAAAGGGGUACUAAUACCGGAUAUUCUUGCUUUUCAUAAGUUAUGCAAGCAAAGGUGGCCUCUGCAUAUGCUACUGCAUGAAGAGGGGUCUGCGUACCAUUAGCUAGUAGGUGGGGUAAUGGCCUACCUAGGCGACGAUGGUUAGCGGGUCUGAGAGGAUGAUCCGCCACACUGGCACUGGAACACGGGCCAGACUCCUACGGGAGGCAGCAGUGAGGGAUAUUGCGCAAUGGGGGAAACCCUGACGCAGCGACGCCGCGUGAGUGAGGAAAAGGCCUUCGGGUCGUAAAGCUCUGUCAAGAGGAAAGAAGUGUACAAUGGCUAAUACCUGUUGUAUUUGACGGUACCUCUAAAGGAAGCACCGGCUAACUCCGUGCCAGCAGCUGC
rnacentral:rRNA from 1 species